rnacentral:tRNA from 1 species
GGAGGCCUUAGCUUAAUUAAAGUGUCUGAGUUGCAUUCAGGAGAUGUGUUGUAGGAUUACACAGGUCUUA